rnacentral:tRNA from 1 species
GUGGGGUGGCCGAGUGGUUAGGCAGCGGCCUGCAAAGCCGUCUACGCGGGUUCGAAUCCCGUCUCCA